CUCUUUUUCUUUAUUUAAUUUUUUAUUUUAAUGGAUGUAAAAGUUAUUAUUUAUUAUUUUUAAUAUUUAAUAAUUAUUAUUUUUUGAUAUAAUUUAAUAAUUAUUAUUUUGAUGAAAAGGUUGAUGGGAUGUGUCAUAAAAGUGACAUGUUUUACUUUUUCUUUUAUUUAAAUAAAUUUAAAAAUCACACCCCAUGUCUCACUCUUUUUCUUUUAUUUAAAUAGAUUUAAAAAUCUCACUCC